rfam:Callithrix jacchus chromosome 4, whole genome shotgun sequence
CAAAAGGCCCUUUUCAGGGCCGCCCAACUAAACAAAAGAAGAGCUGU